UCUUGCACAGGAGGAUCAAGUUAAGUAAUAAAAUAAGAUAAACUUUAUAAAUCAUUUCCACAAACUGUAAAACUGAUCUGAUUAUCCUACUUAAGGUAAACUUAUCACUUUAUUAAUAUUAUUAGUAGUAUAAGUUAGUUAUAUAUAUAUAAGAAGGUCUAGAAAACAUUACAUGAUUUUGUUUCUUUCUGUAGCCAAGAUACCAAACAACAGAAUGAAAGAUCUAAAAUAAAAUUGCCAAUAACCCGUGAAAUUUAUUAAGGAUACCUUAGUUCAAGAGAAAUCUAAAAACGCGAAUGAAUACAAGAAAAUUGAUAACGUCGAUGAUCAUGUAAAUGUUAACUUAAACCUAACAUAACCUAACAUUCGCAAAUGCCAUAUAGGUGAACAGGAAUGUGAGAAACGGCGAAAAAGCGGCAGAUAGGCAUCGCGGCCAAGUCGAAAAUUGUGACGUUGCUCGGCAUUUGGUACAAUUUUUUCCAUGAAGUUAAUGUUAAUCAGUGGCGGACGUGACGUGGAUGGAGGGUGCUCGACUGGAUUUCAUGUCGGCCGCUGCCAGGCUUGUACAGCCUGUAUGCCAUAAACGUGCUGCCAUAAGUACUUUGGCAAUAUACAUCCCGGCAUCGGGACUCAUCCAUUACAACAGGCUAGCGCGUGAUCGUGCAACCACUCGUGGAGCACCGGCGCGCAACGCAGAAUCAUUUUGUACCGUUCAUUUCGGAACGACAAUCCACACCACCAGCGAGACUUUCCCAUAUUUUCGCCCGAUUCUUUUUCCGAAACGGACCCGCGAAAAAUGACGUUUUAUUGCUGCUAUGAAACACACACACGAAGGCCGAAGUGCUGUUCGAGUGGGCACCGAAUUUUCGACGGUCCAUGACGAUCCUCGAGGGCCGAGCUUCGCCGUUGCCAUUGUUGCAUGUUUUCAAAGUUCAUUCGCCUGUUGAUUGACAAAUUUUUGACUUGGUGGAGCGGCAGGGAUCGAACGAUUACUAUUGCCUGAUACAUGCUGGUUAUCUUCGAAGAAGAAAUUUUUCAGGUUUGCUUAUAUAAUGGAUUACCUUAUAUAUACUAUAAAUUUAUAUACAUAAUUAUACAUAAUUGAUUAUAAUCAUGUAGAAGGAUAACGAUAUAUCCUCUAGAGUAGACGAUCUUUGUUCGUAACGAUUCUACAGGCAACAAGAGAUCGUUGCACAAUGAGACCCGCAUAAGAGGUAUUAGGAGUACGCGUGUACGCAUCGCUAUACACAACCAGUGGUUUUCAACAUGAUAUACGUAAACUCAGGAUUAACUCCUUUAUCCUAUACCCAUCUCAUAAUACCACUCAACAUCCACUGGGCAAAUGAAAAAAUAACGAAAUAACUAACUCGGUAACUUCUGAUAAACGGAAGCAUUAUAUCUUUUAAACUGAUGAAAUCAUCAACCGAUUUCUGAAUAUCAACAAUAUUUAGAAAAUAUAUUCUAAACAAAGAAUGCUGCAUUAUGGAAGGACAAUCUAUGCAAUUUAAUUUUGGAACAUAAUCAGAGUUACAUAUGUAUUAAUUUAAUAUUACAAUUCGACUACUUAACACCACGACAUAUGAGAAGGAUAAUGACAUUUGAAUUGCAACGAUUAGGAAGUUCCCCUGGACGGCGCGUGAAGGACGAUGAAGGAAGGCGCGCCAUUAAAAGACGGACGGCCAUUAACAUCCGCAAAACGCUGUCAAUUGACCGUCCACAAAACAACUCUUUAACCUUUUCUUUGUGGACACCCCUCCCCGAGCUGUUCCCUUAUACCGGUGCUCCACGAUUCAAAAAUCGCGUGCGUUCUUUCACGCACGCUUUACUCAUGGGGGUCCCCAAGCAAAAUGCACACGCGCGUUCCACAUCUCGUCUAACUCCGGUCUCUUCCAUUCACUUGCGUUAUGUAUAGUGUACAGUGCCAUGUAAGUAUAAUAAAUAAGAACGCUUGAGGAUCCAUUGUGCCGAUUGUUUUCGAUGGCCUCGUCGAAAACGACGAGGCCUGUCGGCAGGGUGCACGCCACGGGGCACAUACACAUACACGCAUGUACUGACAAGUAUACCUAUAUACAUACAAGCUCCAUGCGUAUAUACAUGCACGAUUUUUCUUUCUGUUUCUUCCUGUCUCUUUUCCUUCCUAACGAUUUCCUUGUUCACGUCUUUUCUACAUGCUUCUACUUUUACACGGUCCAAUUUUUUUCUUUUCUCUUCUACCUUCUUCCUUGCCCAUAUCCGCGAAAGUCUCUUAAAUACUCCUUUAUUGCUAUAAGGAGAAAACAAGAACUCAGCAGGAUCCCUGAAUGCAACCACGAAAGCUGGAUACUCGGUCACAGUAAUACGACGUGUACGUGUUCACUGGCCGUGCUCGAGUACGUACUUGCAGCCUUUUCCUAGCUCGGUUUAAGACGGUAUUUCGAAGCGGACCGCGAGCUUCCAGUCCAUCAAGCAACUGAUCCUGCCCCUAUGUGAUUCCGUAUAAUGCUCCUUCCUAAGUGUUCCUUCGUCGAUCCUUUUCCAUCGAUCCCCCGAAUGUAUGUAUCGAUCAGCUAAAGAUAAAAAACGCUCGGGUGACUUCGUAAACCUAGAUACGUAUUGUACUGCAUAAAGAAUGCAAUCGGCCAGUGAAAAGCGAAGAAAAAAGGUGUAAAGCAAAAAAAGGUACUAAAU